UGUGGCCGUGGACUCGCUGGGGUUGGAGCCUCGUCGCUGUGUGUUGCCGCGACAGAACAGCAGCAGACGGAGCUCCGGAGCGACGCUGCUGGAGAAGGCCGAGUAGAUCCAGGGGUUGGUGCACGAGUUCAGACUGGCCAACAGCAUCAGCAAGACGGUGAUGGUGAGGACGGGGAGGAUGAAGACAGCCAGGGUCAUCCAGGUCACGUAGGCUUUGAGGCCCCAGGACUCGGCAAAGUUGCCCCAGCACUCAUACACUCCUGGAGCUACCUCUGAACGGGAGAAGAUGAAAACCUGCGGGACAGAGAAGUGUGUUAAGAAUCAUCACCAGGAGCAGCCAACAGGACUGAAGCAACACGCAGAGGAGGAAAAAAUGCUGCGAGGAGUUCAUUCAUUACAAAAGCAAACAGUGAAAAGCAGUUACGACGACAUGACGACAUGUCUUGAGGCAGGUCUGGCAGCUUUUGAACCAGGUUUUAAUGUGAUAUGCAAAUGAUUGGUGGGCAAUGUUGAGGCAAGGAUGAUCCGACGACUGGGAAGCUCUUACUGUGAACGUUGUCUGUUUCAUUCCUUGGGCCUGUUCCAUGAAGAAAGUUUGAUGUACCCAGGGGAUCUUUUCGUAAUCCGCCUUAACUAAAACCUAACAUCGGCGGUGCUGGUAACCAGCUACGAGCGCGUUCAUGUGUAAGAGGCGGUGAUGUUGAUUUCCAGCUACAUCGUCAGAAUAUGAAUAAAGUUGUUAUAACGAUAUGAGAGGAAACGCCACAGCGACAGACACAAGUGACAUUUAAAAUGUUGAUGAUGUGAUAAAAACAUUUUUUUUUUAUUUUUAAAGUCAGUAAAAUAAUAAGCACAGGAAUUUUAAUAACUUUAUUAGUGAGAGACUAUUUUUUGUCUUUUGUCACCCGACCUGUGGCACCCCACCUGUGUCACCCGACCUUUCUAACCCGACCAGUGGGACCCCACCUGUGGCACCCGACCUGUCACACCCUACCUGUGGCACCCGACCUGUCUCACCCGACCUGUGUCACCUGACCUUUCUAACCCUACCUGUGGCACCCGACCUGUCUCACCCGACUUGUGUCACCCCACCUGUGGCACCCGACCUGUGGCACCCGACCUGUCUCACCCAACCUGUGGCACCCCACCUGUGGGACCCGACCUGUCUCACCCGACCUGUCUCACCCGACCUGUGUCACCCUACCUGUGGCACCCUACCUGUGGCAGGCUGAGCAGCAGCGACAGCCCCCAGGCCAGCAGCAGGAAGGUGUUCCAGCGCUGGGU